rnacentral:pre_miRNA from 1 species
UAUCUACUCCCUCUGUUCGGAAUUACUUGUCGCAGAAAUGGAUGUAUCUAGACAUAUUUUAGUUCUAGAUACAUCCAUUUUCACGACAAGUAAUUCCGAACGGAGGGAGUAGCUU